UGGAGCAUGGCGCAGUGGUAGCGCAGGCGUCUGAUGGCUGCCAGGUCUCCGGUUCGAUUCCGGAUGUUCCGC
rnacentral:tRNA from 1 species